AACAAACGCUGGCGGCGUGCCUAAUACAUGCAAGUCGAACGAGGAAAGCUUUCGGGUGAGUACUAGUGGCGCACGGGUGAGGAAUACAUGGGUAAUCUGCCCUCGAGUUGGGGAUAACCAGUCGAAAGAUUGGCUAAUACCGGAUAAGACCACAAGAUCUGCGGAUCAAGGGGUUAAAGGUUUUUCGCUUGAGGAUGAGCCCAUGUGGGAUUAGCUAGUUGGUGAGGUAAUGGCUCACCAAGGCGACGAUCCCUAACUGGUCUGAGAGGAUGAUCAGUCACACUGGAACUGAGACACGGUCCAGACUCCUACGGGAGGCAGCAGUAGGGAAUAUUGCACAAUGGGGGAAACCCUGAUGCAGCGACGCCGCGUGAGUGGUGAAGGCCUUCCGGUCGUAAAGCUCUGUCGUAUGGGACUAACACAAUGAAGGUACCAUGCAAGAAAGGAUCGGCUAACUUCGUGCCAGCCGCCGCCGUAAGA
rnacentral:rRNA from 1 species